ACUAUUAAGUUUAAGAAAAUCGGUUUUAAAAAAAUCAAAUUCUACAUCCUCGACCACAUCAUUGAAACAGAUUUUUUGGUAGCAUGUUAAUUCAGCCAACAGAGGAGGAUGAUGGCAAUCUAUACCAACAAGUGCUUCAUCAGCUUGACGCACGUGACAGUUCGCUAACGCUUCCUCGUUAACGAACAAAAGAUCCAAAGUGCGAUUCAAUAUAUUAGUCACUGUACAAAUUUGAAUCAUGUUCAAUAAAGACAUCCUGUCUAACAGAGUGCUACUAGACGGAUCGGCAGACGCAAAUCCAUAGGAAGUGUCUUUCCACACAAUACCAGGUUGAAAAUUUUUGGAUCGCGAUCGUUCCGAUAAAUUGUGUAUCGAGGACCAAACAACUGCAGUGAGGAGAUGUCAUCGUUCAGCCAUGUCUCGGACAGUACAAUUACGUCAUAUUCUGCAUCAUAAACAGCAACGAAGAGGUCGUCGAUUUUUGUGCGCAGGCCUCUCACGUUCUGAGGACAACACACUGGCUUGAUCGAAACUCGAGUGAGCAAUAUGCGAAAAGGUGUGUUACACGAUUGUUCUAAAGGAUGAGUGUGUGCAACUUGCUACUUUUUUGAGUGGACUUCUGCCUACACCUGCAAAUGCUCGACAAAUAUCCGAGGGGAUGAUACAGACGACAGAUUUGCAUAAAUUACUUUUACAAAAAAGUAAAUUUAAUUAAAUAGUCUGCAUAUUUCCCCAUUUGUUAUCUUAUGAGGGAGAGAUGGUCAUACAAACAUUUGAUCGAAUCCACCAAAAAUCAUACAAGAUACAGGAGAUCUGAAAAUGUUGCUUCGCGCAGGAAUUCUAUUCAAUAACUCUAGUUGGAUUAUGAUACAAGACGACUUCAUAAAAGGAGCUUUAAGAUUGAUGAAAGAGCUAUCCAACAAAGGUAAUAAGCGAACUACUGGUUUGGAAAACAAUGCGAGCAUGGAGGAGAUUACUGCUGCUCCCAUAAUUAAGUGGAACCGAUUUCCUCAUAGCGAAAUGCUGGCUGUAAAACAAUUAUCCUCAACAAUCGGGGACUCACACAUAAUUUGUGUAGGCGAACGAUACUGCCUUGGAAAUAUGUAUGUCAUUUUCAAUGAACACGUUAUUCCUUGUAGUAAAUCAAGCCUAAGAGCAAUCGAAGUUAUGUAUAAAUCUUAUGCUGUAUUCGGUCUUCAAGUGCCGGCAUUGAUCAGACAAUUGUACGAUCUAAUAUCGAUUAAUGUUUGGGGUACGAAACAGCACAACAAGUCUAAAUCAACGAUGGAUUUAACAACGCGAUAUAAGGAAUUUAAUUGAAGUUC